rnacentral:rRNA from 1 species
UAGGGGUCCUCCCGCAUGACCGUUUUGCUCUCAUGUGCACCUCGCAGAAGAGGGGGGGUGAGGCAGGCAGACGGGCAAGCAGCAGCGGCGGGGCGGGGCGGGGAACCGGGCGGCGUUGCCGGUCGCAGGGAAACUCUCGGAGGGGGUGGUAAUUUGAUAAGGGAGAUGAGCGAGGGAGAGGAUAUUCGCGGCGGACACCCCUCUCCGAUACUGAAGUCGAGAGGCCGCUUUCCGCCGCGUCUACCGAAGGCGCCGUCGCCGCCCCUGCCCCACGAUGAGCGUCUGCAGGACCCGCGACGCUGCGGAACCGCGGCCUCCGCCGCGGGAGCGUAGCCGCCGGUGGGCGUCCUCCUUGACGAGGCAGAGGCGCCGGCGGCAGAAGCUGUUGGUCUUGGCGCUCAUGCACUAGCACCCGCCGCCCUUGCGCCGCCCGAUGCGCCGGUCCUGCAAGCAGCUCGUACCGUACCGGCUGCCGGCGGAGACGUAGCAGAGGUUUCUCCGACAAGGUGGUAUGCUCGCUGGCCGUGACUGGUUUCCGAUAGACAAAGGUGGUCUUUUCUUCGGCCGUGCGGAUGGACCUAAGGUAUGGACACAACCUAGACCACCGGUCUCCGUCUGACGGCUUACCAUGUUCCUCUUACCGUAUCUCCACGACAUACUCCUAGGUCAACUUCGUAAACUACCGUUUUGUGUCUGGAACUUUUGAAGUAGUCCCUUUUAAGACUUCAUACCCAGUGAAUAGUAAAGAUGACCAACACGUCGACGUUCUGAUGGACUCUUUUAACCUCCUCUGAAUGGACCUCAAGUGAUAUAUGCACUACAACGACUACGACUAAGAGAUCAUAGAAGUAACCCUUUUCGUUUCUUUUAACAACAAUAACCACCCCCGAUAUAACCGUACCUCCACCGACGACGUCGAACACCGACCUUAGAACUGUGUUGAUAUUAUAAGGGUCUUCUAGUGUAUUACGGUUCUAACAAAUGCGGAAGGGAACGAUUCUUCAUACUCCUUGACAUACUCGUUUUACCGCAGUUUAAGCAUUUCCCUCGAGAAUAACUGUUUGAACUACGACCGAGACUACCUUCCCACAGAAGUCGAUAUGAAUUUCUACCAAGACAACAACUUCGACUAUGUCAAUAACAACCAUAUCCUCGUUUUGGUAGACAGUCGGGGAAGCUUCGACACCCUCAAUUGUAGCUUCAACCACCUUAUCUCCAACUAAGGUACAAAUCUUGUUCAUAUGGAUCGUAGAAACGAUAACCUCUACACCGUCGAAAAGGCGAGUUCUACAUACUAUCUUAUCGAGCUCACCUCGUACACCUAGUACGGUCUUUCAGACGUGUUGUAACAUAUCUUUGUGAGAAUUGUAGGGUCCGUUUUCGCAUACUGAUGGAAGGCAUAAAGAUAAGAGCUCAAAAACUCAUACUUCCUUCGAGGUCCUUUUAAACCACCGUUAAGAUGCCUCUAUUGCAACCACUUUGUUAACUUCAUCCCUUGAAACUAGGAUUCUAACGAUGGAAGACCUAACUGAGACUAUCAGCUGACUUCCCACAAAAGGAACUCUCACCUUGGAGUCUCCUUAAGAGCGAAGAAGGUUUCGAGCGCUCUAGUGUCGGGUAACAGCUGUUUCGAUUCGAGUUCUCACGCUGAAGUCAGCUUCUACGUAAUCUCUAACGCUCUUCGAGAGAAAUCAGACCGAGAAGACAAAUUGAUCAACAGUUGUGUAUACCGGAGAAGUCAAACCCUGACGUCGAAUAAAACUUUUCAGUCCUGACGCUACUGUUAUUACGCCGGUAUCAUAGGCAAGAUACGCCCCAAACAUUAAAAGAAUCUACGGGGAGCCGGCGGUAAAAGAUCGAACCGUAUUUGAAACUGGUGGGAAAACUCCCCAACUCCUUCUAUACUACCUUACCCUUAUAAAAGAAUACGUCCAAGCUUGUAACCCACCAUCAUAUUUGAUAUCCGUGUAAUUAUUUUGAAUCAUACUAGUGUGGUCGUUCACAACCCCUUAACCACUGGUCCUCCUGGCUCUUACCCCGUACCAGCAAGGAUACCAACCCCUUAACCACUAGCCCUCCUCUCCUCUUACCCCGCACCAUGUUAGUCGUCCCACGCUCAUCAACCACGUCUACCUGACACUAGAACAGCAAAGUCUGAAGUAGAAUAAAUGACUCGGAUGGGAACUA